GUAACAUUCAAGAAUUGUCCCUUUUGCACCCAACUCUCUUUCCGUUAGUCCCUACAACUUCACCGUUCUCUGACUACUAGGGUGGCGGAUUCCAGGACUGAUAGAGAAGCCGGUAGACGAAUGUCGUCAGUUUCUUGCACUAAGCUGACACUAUUCACCGUUGCAGCAGUUACCAUCCAGUUCAUCGGUCUCUCCAUCUUCGUUUUCGGCUUCUUCCCCGUCAAACCACUACUCACCGGCCACAGUGGUUCGGAGAGUUUCCGACGACCGACCUGCGAUGUCCGCGACGUCUCAAAUCAUAGCGAUGCGUCUCUGCUUCCUGAUAGUCUCAGGUUUUUGUAUCAGGAAGUAUCCGAGGUUCCUCCUUUGUAUGAUCGACUUGUCUUAAUGGUUAUUGAUGGUCUUCCAGCGGAAUUUGUGCUUGGCAAGAAGGGUCAGCCUCCUAGCAAAGUUUUUAUGGAAGCUAUGCCGUAUACACAGUCAUUGUUGGCAAAUGGUACGGCUGUUGGAUAUCAUGCUAUAGCUGCUGCUCCAACUGUUACAAUGCCUCGUUUGAAGGCCAUGGUUUCUGGGGCAAUUGGCGGUUUCCUGGAUGUGGCUUUCAACUUUAACACCCAGGCUUAUUUAGAAGAUAAUCUUCUUGCACAGUUCUUUAAGAUUGGUUGGAAAAUGGUCAUGCAUGGUGAUGAUACAUGGCUCAAGUUGUUUCCUGGUUUAUUUGAAAGACAUGAUGGAGUUACCAGCUUUUUUGUUAAAGAUACUGUACAAGUGGAUCAAAAUGUGUCUCGACAUCUUGUUGAUGAGCUUAGUAGAGAUGAUUGGAAGUUUCUGAUACUUCAUUAUCUAGGCUUGGAUCAUGUUGGACAUCUUGGUGGGCGCAACAGUGUUUUAAUGGCUUCAAAACUUGUUGAAAUGGAUGAAGUAGUGAAGACGAUUCAUAUAAAUACUUUGCAAAAUCUAGAAAAUGAUCAAGGGAAGACACUUCUGGUUGUAGUCAGUGACCAUGGAAUGACUGAGAAUGGUAAUCAUGGGGGUUCAUCCUACGAGGAAACAGACUCUAUAGCCUUAUUUAUUGGGCCAAAACCCCAUACCUUUCACCAUUCUUCAUCCAAUCCUGACACAAUUUUCCAGGUUGAUAUUGCACCAACAUUAGCUUUACUUUUUGGCGUGCCAAUUCCCAAAAAUAAUAUUGGUGUUUUGAUCUCUCAAAUGGUUGACUCUCUGACAGAUGACCAAAAGCUUAGGGCACUGCAGUUGAACUCAUGGCAGUUGUUCAGAUUACUUCAAGCACAAUUGCCUGGUUUAUCCUGUAGAAAUCUUCUCUGUGACACCUUCAUUACUAAUAGUGAACCCACAAUCAGUGAAUGUAAAGGUAGGGAGGAGAAGUUGUUUUGUUGCUUGUACGUAAAUGCUGCUACUCUCCAUGAUGCCUGGAAGGCUAAAGUAUUCUCCAGGUUUAAUGGUACAGAAGGUUAUAACAGCUUUCUUGCCGCAUAUCACGAGUUUCUGAGUUCAGCAAGUGAGUGGUUAUCACACAAAGCAACUGAUAAACCAGUUAAUUUACUUGUUCUUGGAGUUGCUGCUUUGAUCAUAUCAUGCUUGAUACUUUUGGGACUUGUGUUUUUCAUCCACAAAGAAAUUCCUUCUUGGGAGACGCAAGAUCAUGAAAAUUAUAUGACACCAUGGAAAUUUGAUGAGGUAUUCGUUUUGUUUGGCAUCCUGACCCUUGUCAUCAGUAUGGGAUCAAGUUCCAUGAUUGAGGAAGAACAUUAUAUUUGGAAUUUCCUAACUUCUACAAUUAACUUCUUAUUUUUUCGUAAAGCAAUACAGUCUUUGCAUCUUAAUAAAGCACAUGAUAUUCUCAGUUCGACAGAGGAAAAAAGAAAUAUAUCAGGAUGCCAAAUAAGCUCACUGUUCCUUAUUCUUUUUACUGGAAGAAUUUUGGGAGGCUGGCAUCAAGGUGGUGUAAAUUGGACUAAUCUUCCUGACAUUGCCAAGUGGCUUGAGCAGGCUGGCAACCAAUAUAUAAACUUGAUUCAGAUAGCAUCAUGUGCAAUGGUCAUCAUUUUGGGCAUAUCUAUAUUGUACCUAGUGCAGUCUAAAACAAAAGUUGUAACAGUGAUUUGGUUUAGCUUGCUUAUGUCUGGUUUGUUGGUAUUACAGCAUUUUGUGAAACAUCAGGACAUGUCAAUCCCAUAUAAUAAUGAUGAGAACUUAUCAAUACAAGUAUUCUAUGCUGUUCUGGGAAUCACCACUGUUGCAGUUGUGUUGAUUUUGCCAUGGAUUAUGCCUAUGCAAACUCCUGAAAUAUGCUCAAGGAAAAACAUCUGCAUGUCUGCUUCUGUUCCUGUUGAAGUUCAGAACAUGACACGUAUUUUCGUAUUGAAGGAUUCCUUGUACAUAGUUGGAUGCUUGUACAUAACUUUCUGGUGUCUGCUGCAGUUAUUGCUUCAACAAUCCAUCAAUGCGAUGCCUGUGUUGCUGCUCUUUAUUCAAUUCUUGGCCAGCAUGCUUACUUUUUCUUCCAGUGGUUCAUGUCAUAAGCAGUGGGUUGAGAUUACUGCUCUGUACUAUCUGGGAAUGGCAGGCCAUUUUGCUCUUGGGAAUAGUAAUACACUAGCUACAAUUGACGUAGCUGGAGCUUUUAUUGGAAUUUCAAGUCACUCAACCUUCCUUUCAGGUCUUCUAAUGUUCAUCAUUACUUAUGCAUCCCCCAUGUUAUUCUUUCUGAGUCUGGUGCUGUACAUCUCUGUCAAGGCCAUGAUCUAUCCACUGGUUAUCAGGAACGGAAACUCCGGAGAAAUUCUCAAGACCCUUCUUGGAUUUCCUUGCUUGGUACCGCUGACCAUAAAUUCUGUUCUCUUGACUGUGUACACAAUUGUCCUGCUGUUGAUGAGGAAUCACUUGUUUAUUUGGAGUGUUUUUUCUCCCAAGUACCUUUACGUCUGUGCUGCUACUGCAUGUGUCUAUAUUGGCGCCAUCAUUGUAGUUGCUACUGUGAUUUAUACAUUCAUUGUUCUUUUUUGGCUGAGAAAGAGUUUCUCCUUAAGUAGCAAGGAAAAAGAACUGUAAAUCUAUUGAUGAGGAUUGAAGGAAGAUGUAACUGAUUGCUAUAUUCUCACUUUUACAUUCACACUGACUGAGAUAAAAGCCUACAUCUAUGAAGUCAAGAGGAUGAUCUACUAUGCACCAAGGUAAAUUGUCAUCCAAAGAUAAAAUGUCAUUAACAUUACCUAUUAUGCACCGAGGUAAAUUAAACAUUCAAUAAUGUUGUCUCAACAAGUUCAACCAGUCCGUCUUCAACUCCUUCAGGAAAAUAGAGAAUCUCAAUUAAUUCUUUAUCAUCCCCUCCUUGUAUCAUGAACCUCCACGUCAAUAGAAUUCCUCGAAAAAGAAGUAAUUUGACAAUUAAACCCCUCUUCCACCGUCCUAUAAACAGAAAACGAAUGAUAAAAAUGAGUACUCCUAACAACCCUCAGCAUAUCAGCCAAAAUUGUCCAAUUUGUGUGUCCAAAAUUUUCAUUUCUCGUUGACAAUCACAAACGAAGAGUUUGGUCUCCCAAAGCCCCCAUUUUCUCUAGAAACAGUAGUGUGGGUUUAGAGAGGAAGAAAGACUUGGUUUGGUUACUCAUCAUGUACUUACUGCAAUCCUAAAAAUCAUUCCCACAGAGGUUAAUUGGAGUUUUGACACCAUUUCCCGAAUCCUUACCUAUGCUAACUUACUAACCAAAAACUCUUGACUUAUGAAGGUAUUUCCUUUUCUUUCAUGUACUCUAAGAUAUUGGCAGUAUAAGGUAUAACGUAGUUGUAAUGCUAGCGUGUUUUUAGAUUUUUGAGACACUUUCUGGGAGAGUUGGAAGCCUAUAUGUUUGAUAACUUUUGGAAGUUUAUAUCAUUGUUAUGAUGUAAAUAUUUUCUCAUAUCUUAUGACAACUUGCCAUUUCAAGAUGUGAAUAUAAUAUU